rnacentral:rRNA from 1 species
UAGGGAAUCAUCGGCAAUGGACGAAAGUCUGACCGAGCAACGCCGCGUGAGUGAAGAAGGUUUUCGGAUCGUAAAACUCUGUUGUUAGAGAAGAACAAGGACGUUAGUAACUGAACGUCCCCUGACGGUAUCUAACCAGAAAGCCACGGCUAACUACGUGCCAGCAGCCGCGGUAAUACGUAGGUGGCAAGCGUUGUCCGGAUUUAUUGGGCGUAAAGCGAGCGCAGGCGGUUUCUUAAGUCUGAUGUGAAAGCCCCCGGCUCAACCGGGGAGGGUCAUUGGAAACUGGGAGACUUGAGUGCAGAAGAGGAGAGUGGAAUUCCAUGUGUAGCGGUGAAAUGCGUAGAUAUAUGGCGGAACACCAGUGGCGAAGGCGGCUCUCUGGUCUGUAACUGACGCUGAGGCUCGAAAGCGUGGGGAGCAAACAGG